rnacentral:rRNA from 1 species
GACAGAGGGGGCAAGCGUUGCUCGGAAUUACUGGGCGUAAAGGGCGCGUAGGCGGGAUGGCAAGUCGGUCGUGAAAUCCUUCGGCUCAACCGAAGAACGUCGAUCGAUACUGCUGUUCUUGAGGGUUGCAGAGGAGACUGGAAUUCCCGGUGUAGCGGUGAAAUGUGUAGAGAUCGGGAGGAACACCGGUGGCGAAGGCGGGUCUC